rnacentral:tRNA from 1 species
GGGCCUUUAGCUCAGUUGGUUAGAGCAGACGGCUCAUAACCGUCCGGUCCUGGGUUCGAGUCCCUGAAGGCCCACCA